UCUGCUCUAUUCCGAUAGAUGUUUAUCCUCUCUGAUGUUUAUCUUUCUUCUUCUUCUUCUCAUAUUCAUCUCCUCAACAAUGUACGACAGAGGUUACUUCUAUUGGAUACAUCUGCGUUUGAAACCCUAAAUCAUGUACCGUCGAGUGGUUGAAGAAGAGAAUAAUCAUAAGAAGAAACAGAUCUCCUAGGGUUUCUUAUCAUACUCGAUGAACGCUUUUGUAUAAGCUCCUCUUAAUCGGUGACUCUGAGUUUGUUGAUUAGAAGCAACCUCUGCCGGACGGUUGUUGAGGAGAUGGAAAUGUGAAAGGUGAUACCAGGUGUGUUGAUAGGUGAUACUAGUACAAAAGUUUAGGACAUCACCAAGAUCUGCCUAACAAGUGUUGGAUAUAACGAUGGUUGUACAUAAAGUUUGAUAAACAUCAUCCACUGUUCAAUUAUGAAAAACCACUGAUCAAGACCAAAGUCCAGACAAGCACCGAUCAACUAAAUGUGAAACACUCUCCAACAAUAGUGGUUCCCCAUCAACAUUAGUUGUUCUAUCUUUGUUUAUGUUAACAGUGUUUAUUCUAUCUUUGUUUAUUUUAACAGUGUUUAUAUGUAACAUAAUUUAUCCUAUCACUUCAGUGUUU